GAUGAACGCUGGCGGCGUGCUUAACACAUGCAAGUCGAACGGGAAUUACUUUAUUGAAACUUCGGUCGAUUUAAUUUAAUUCUAGUGGCGGACGGGUGAGUAACGCGUGGGUAACCUGCCUUAUACAGGGGGAUAACAGUCAGAAAUGGCUGCUAAUACCGCAUAAGCGCACAGAGCUGCAUGGCUCAGUGUGAAAAACUCCGGUGGUAUAAGAUGGACCCGCGUUGGAUUAGCUUGUUGGUGGGGUAACGGCCCACCAAGGCGACGAUCCAUAGCCGGCCUGAGAGGGUGAACGGCCACAUUGGGACUGAGACACGGCCCAGACUCCUACGGGAGGCAGCAGUGGGGAAUAUUGCACAAUGGGGGAAACCCUGAUGCAGCGACGCCGCGUGAAGGAAGAAGUAUCUCGGUAUGUAAACUUCUAUCAGCAGGGAAGAUAGUGACGG
rnacentral:rRNA from 1 species